UUGAACGCUGGCGGAAUGCUUUACACAUGCCAGUCGAACGGCAGCACGGGGGCAGCCCUGGUGGCGAGUGGCGAACGGGUGAGUAAUACAUCGGAACGUGCCCGGUCGUGGGGGAUAACGUAGCGAAAGUUACGCUAAUACCGCAUACGAUCUGAGGAUGAAAGCGGGGGACCUUCGGGCCUCGCGCGAUCGGAGCGGCCGAUGUCAGAUUAGGUAGUUGGUGGGGUAAAGGCCUACCAAGCCGACGAUCUGUAGCUGGUCUGAGAGGACGACCAGCCACACUGGGACUGAGACACGGCCCAGACUCCUACGGGAGGCAGCAGUGGGGAAUUUUGGACAAUGGGCGCAAGCCUGAUCCAGCCAUUCCGCGUGCAGGACGAAGGCCUUCGGGUUGUAAACUGCUUUUGUACGGAACGAAAAGGCUCUGGCUAAUACCUGGGGCUCAUGACGGUACCGUAAGAAUAAGCACCGGCUAACUACGUG
rnacentral:rRNA from 1 species